CAGAGCGGCGGGCAAGGGAGAGGGAGCGGUAGCACCAGUGUGUAAACUUGAGAGCAAUAAAAACGCCCUACUGACCACAUACACGAACAGUCGUGAUGAAAAAGCAAGUGUAAAUAAGGGAGCAAAGAAGAGAAGGCUGAGCUACGAGGCGAUUCAAAGCUGCAGCGGCCACAAGAAGAGGAAGCCGCGGCGAGGGGCGGCCACUUGCACGCCCCGCUCAGCCUCCCUCCCGCCCCUCGACCUUUAGGAGACGUGGCAUUCUGAGAUCUCCCGCCUCCGCCCCCACGCCCCCACGCCAGCACACACCACGGAGGGAGGGAGAGCCGCGCCCACCACCCACACCCACACACCCAGCACACCGGUAGGCUUGCUUGGGGGGCCUGGAUGGUAGUCGGCCCCAGCCCGUCAUGGCGCAGGCCAUGGUAGACAAAUCCAUAGUGGGAGUGGAGAGGGAGGAAACAGAUGAAGAAGAGGAAGAAACAAAUGAGGAGGAGGAGAGAGGAAUGAGGAAGAAGGAGGAGGACCGCGAGAGGUGGGGCUAUGCAAAGAAACGUCCUCCCCCCAAGCCCUUCCCUCCCCUGCCGUGGCCCGAGCUGGUGUUUUAUUUUGUCUCCUUCUGGGCUGGAUGCUUGUACAGCCUCCUCCGCUUCUACCGCACCUCCCAGCGGUGGGGCCAGUACCUGCACGUCACACAGGUGCCUGCCAAGGGGUUGUGGUGGGGUGGGUGGUGGUUCGGGGGCGUGGAGCAGGUGCGACAGGACCAGACAGAUUGGGAGUGGUACGUGUGGGUGCCCAUCCUGCUGUCCUACGCCCCCCUCGGCCUGCUGCAUGUCCUCCUGGCACAGGCUGUCCGCAGGUUUUGUCCACAGUAUCUCUGUGGGUUCUACAUUGGGUUCAGCCUGUGCAUCAUGCUAGCACUCAUUGGACGUGUGGGGACGGUGCUGUGCCUCUCAGUGCCGGCCAUCAUGUUUGUGGUGCUGCUGACGCGCCUCAAGCUGCUUGUGUGGCUCACCUGGUGCCUCAUCCUCAUCCUCAUCAACACACAGUACUUCAACACCACCUUGGUUGCGUGGGUGGAGGAUGCUCCAGAGUGGGAGUACAAGAUCUCUGUGAUGGUGGCGUGGAUCAUCCUUCGCUCCCUCAGCUUCAGUCUUGAGGUCUGUGACGCCGACCCUGAUGGCAGUGCACCCCAUGCCAGCCUCCUCAUCACUCUCCUUGGGUACUGCCUAUACCUCCCCUUCCUCUGCACAGGACCCUACAUGCCAUACACUGACUUUAGGGCAGGGCUGUCUGAGCCUUAUCGGGGGUGGACCAUACGAAAACUGGGAUGGACAGUCCUGCAGGUACUCCGCUUCCUCUUGUGGAUGGGACUGGCAAACUUCCUCCUCUUCCACUUUUAUGCCCACUCCCUCCACUACAUGCCAGAGUUGGUGAAGAGAAUGAACUCGUGGUCCAUGGCUGGGUUUGUGUACUUCCUCGCUGCUUUCAUGCUGCUCAAAUACGUGGUCCUGUAUGGCCUCCCCUCGGUGCUGGCUCGCCUUGAGGGGUAUGAGCCGCCCUCCCACCCCCGCUGCACCCUCAUGACCUACCGCAUGUCUGAUGUGUGGAGGGAAUUCGACCAUGGACUCUACCGCUUCAUGCUCAAACACAUUUACAUCCCUUGGGUGGGUACGGACACCAGCCUGUACCGUCAACUCCAGGGCACGGCCCUCGUCUUCACCUUCGUUUAUGUGUGGCAUGGGGUCUCUGCACCCAUCUUCUGGUGGUCUGCCAUUAAUUUCUUUGGGGUGGUGGUAGAGAAGGCAGGAGACUCCAUAGCCAGGACACCACACUUCAAGGCUUGGGAGGUGCGAUGGCUGCCGGGUGCGUGGCAGCGGCGAUUCCAUGGGCUGUUGGCAGUGGGGCUGUAUGUGCCAUCCCUCGCCUCACUCACCAUUUUCCUCUCCAGCUUAGAAAACGCACAAACUGUCACUGACAGGAUAUUUUUCUCAGGCUUCCCCCAGUGUACAGCGACCAUGUUUUUCUUCAUGUUCUGCCUGGGCCAGUGUAGCAUGGAGCUGCAGAACUGGAAAAUGCAGCUGAAACAGAACACCAGACCCAAGCUGAGCUAGGCCACCCUUCCUCCCCUCCCCUGGUGCCUGUGUCGGGGAGCCUCGUGGUGUGGCUGACGGGCCUUGUGCACGCUGUUGGGGGUUGUGUUGGGGAGUGGCGACUGACAUCCACUGCGAGCUCAAUUGUUGGCUGGGGCGGCGGUGCGCGGCGUGGCGAGGUGAGGCGAGGUGAGGCGAUACCUGCCGAACAUACAUACCAGGUGUUGUGUGUGUGUGUGUGUGUGUGUGUGUGUGUGAGAGAGAGAGAGAGAGAGAGAGAGAGAGAGAGAGAGAGAGAACAGACGUAUACUUAUUUCCAUUAUUUCUGUUCUCUGUCCUCCCUCCUUUCCUCCCCUCCGCGUUUCCGUGUUUUUAUUGUGUUCCCUCGAGCCUGGAAGUUGACGCGUUGCCGUUGCCGUUUCUUUUUUUAUCAUUAUUUUUUUUUUUCAUUCUUUCCGAGUCGUUUCCCUCCCCUUUUAGCGUUUGUAAUGGAGUAGUUCAAGCGAGAAAUUUCUAUAUAUAUUUAGAUUGUAAAGAUAUAUGAAAGUACUACUGUCUCAUGACUGCGAAAGGCUGUAUGGAACACUGAAGCAUUUCUGCAGUGUGUUACUGGUGCGUUGUGUGUAUAAAUAAACAUGUGAAGCAAAAUGUGAUAAAUAAAAUGUAAAGCAAA